GGGGGUGCUAUACAUGCAGUCGAGCGCGGGAGCGAGCGGAUCCCUUCGGGGUGAAGCUCGUGGAACGAGCGGCGGACGGGUGAGUAACACGUGGGCAACCUGCCUGUAAGAUCGGAAUAACCCCGGGAAACCGGGGCUAAUGCCGGGUAAUACUUUUCUUCGCAUGAAGAUAAGUUGAAAGAUGGCUUCUCGCU
rnacentral:rRNA from 1 species